GCCGCGGAUUUCAGUAACCCUCGGAAGACGGCGUAGUCACCAUGGACGUGCUCCGGAAGAGCAGCCACCGUGACGGUUCUAUAUACAAGCGCACGCAUGCGUGGAAGGAAAUCUAUCGCAUCGCGGAUCGUAACGACGCAUGGUUGGAGGCAAUGGCGUUAACAGAUCCCGCGGGCUGCCUCAUUGACAUUGGCAGUGGAUAUUGCCAAUACAGUUGUAUGGAUACAUAGCAGUGCGAGAUCAUUUGGACCUAUUGCUUAAUUACGUCGUCAAUUUCAGUAGAGAUGAUCCCAUCAACGUGGAACAGGUGUGUAUCAUAAUUAUCUGUAAAUUUUUAAGCCUACCUUACCCCAUGUAUUGUGUUUGUUCU